GGAUGGCUGCGCGGCGGGAGGGAAGGAAGUAGCCGUCCGUCCGCGCCUUUGUCCCACGGGCCCUGGUGGCUUCCUGACCCUCUUGGGGCACAGAGCCCACUGGAAAUCCUGUCUCUUCUGCCUGAGCGCAGCGGCCGCUUCCCCUCUCUUGAUCUUGGCAGUACCUGGUUAGGAGGCCUGAGACGCUUUGCCAGACUUGGGGCUGGGCUGAGCGUUUAAACCAAGUCGGGGCUCUGGGGACUGAUCUGAGGGGCACAGCCCCGCCCACGUGCCUGUCAGGCCACCGGGGGACGGGGGCAGGCGCUCCGUGCCACCAGUGUCCAAGUGCAGCUACCAGGCCAGCGGAGCCUGCACCACCGCGGAGAUGCCCUGGAGACGCUGGUCCUCCUGAACCCGUCAGACAAGUCCCUGUGUGAUGAGCUCCGGAACCUUCUGCUGGUCCCUGCCCCUCAUAAGCUGCUGGUGCUGGCCGGGCCCUGCCUGGAGGAGACCGGGGAGCUGCUGCUGCAGACGGGUGGCUUCUCGUUCCACCACUUUCUGCAGGUCCUGGACGAGAGGGAGAUCCAGGACCUGUUGGGCCACACC